AUUGAACGCUGGCGGCAGGCCUAACACAUGCAAGUCGAGCGGAUGAAGGGGGCUUGCUCCUGGAUUCAGCGACGGACGGGUGAGUAAUGCCUAGGAAUCUGCCUGCUCGUGGGGGAUAACGUCCGGACCCGGGCGCUCAUACCGCAUACGUCCUGAGGGAGAAAGUGGGGGCUCUUCGGUCCUCACGCUAUCAGAUGAGCCUAGGUCGGAUUAGCUAGUUGGUGGGGUAAAGGCAUAGCAAGGCGACGAUCCGUAACUGGUCGGAGAGGAUGACCAGGCAGACUGGAACUGAGAAACGGCCCAGACUCCGACGGGAGGAAGCAGUGGGGAAUAUUGGACGAUGGGCGAAAGCCUGAUACAGCCAUGCCGCGUGAGUGAAGAAGGUCUUCGGAUUGUAAAGCACUUUAAGUUGGGAGGAAGGGAAGUAAGUUAAUACCUUGAUGUUUUGACGUUACCAAAAGAAUAAGCACCGGCUAACUUCGUG
rnacentral:rRNA from 1 species